rnacentral:lncRNA from 1 species
GGACUCCUUUUCCACACACAAGAUGGCUUCCCACGCCAUUGGUUCCGUGCGCAUGACUUUUUUCAUGCCACAAAGGAUUCCGUGCUGCAAAAGUUUUCCAUAUCCAUGCAGUUUCCACACACCACAAAAACUUUCGCACACUUCUCGAAGGCUUUUCAUGCUCGACCCUUUUUGGUUUUCAAUUAAAUUGAUGGAUCCCAUAUGAGGAGGGACCACACCAAUAAAUCUCC